rnacentral:rRNA from 1 species
UUCCGGGUUGGAUCCUGCCGGACCCUAUUGCUAUCGGGUGAAGACUAAGCCAUGCGAGUUAAGCGUACCCUAGCCACGUUGGGAACGCAGCGUACGGCUCCGUAACACGUAGCCAAUCUGCCCUUAGGACGGAGACAACUCUGGGAAACUGGGGCUAAUAUCUGAUAGAUGCAGAGGCCUGGAACGGUUCUGCGUCCAAAUGAUUCUAUGAACAUGCUCAUAGAUUUGCCUAAGGAUGAGGCUGCGGCCGAUCAGGUAGUUGGUGGGGUAACGGCCUACCAAGCCUAUAACCGGUACGGGCCCUGAGAGGGGUGGCCCGGAGAUGGGAACUGAGACAAGGUCCCAGGUCCUACGGGGCGCAGCAGGCGCGAAAACUCCACAAUGCGCUAAAGCGUGAUGGGGUUAGCCCGAGUGCCGUCCGAUGAGGAUGGCUUUUCCUCAGUUUAAGGAUCUGUGGGAAUAAAGGGGGGGCAAGUCUGGUGUCAGCCGCCGCGGUAAUACCAGCCCCCUGAGUGAUAGGGACGAUUAUUUGGCCUAAAGCGUCCGUAGCCGGCUUAGUUAGUCUUUCGUAAAAUCCAACGAUUUAAUCGUUGAAACGCGGAAGAUACUGCUAGGCUUGAGGACGGGAGAGGUCGACGGUAGUCCUGGGGUAGGGGUGAAAUCCUAUAAUCCCGGGAGGACCACCAGUGGCGAAGGCGGUCGACUAGAGCGUGCCUGACGGUGAUGGACGAAAGCUGGGGGAGCGAACCGGAUCAGACACCCGGGUAGUCCCAGCUGUAAACGAUGCAGGCUAGGUGUUGGGGUAGCUACGAGCUACUCCAGUGCCGCAGAGAAGUCGUUAAGCCUGCCGCCUGGGAAGUACGGCCGCAAGGCUGAAACUUAAAGGAAUUGGCGGGGGAGCACCACAAGGGGUGAAGCCUGCGGUUCAAUUGGAGUCAACGCCGGG